UGAAGCCCUUCGGGGUGGAUUAGUGGCGAACGGGUGAGUAACACGUGGGCAAUCUGCCCUUCACUCUGGGACAAGCCCUGGAAACGGGGUCUAAUACCGGAUAACACUUCCGUCCUCCUGGACGGUGGUUAAAAGCUCCGGCGGUGAAGGAUGAGCCCGCGGCCUAUCAGCUUGUUGGUGAGGUAAUGGCUCACCAAGGCGACGACGGGUAGCCGGCCUGAGAGGGCGACCGGCCACACUGGGACUGAGACACGGCCCAGACUCCUACGGGAGGCAGCAGUGGGGAAUAUUGCACAAUGGGCGAAAGCCUGAUGCAGCGACGCCGCGUGAGGGAUGACGGCCUUCGGGUUGUAAACCUCUUUCAGCAGGGAAGAAGCGAAAGUGACGGUACCUGCAGAAGAAGCGCCGGCUAACUACGUGCCAGCAGCCGCGGUAAUACGUAGGGCGCAAGCGUUGUCCGGAAUUAUUGGGCGUAAAGAGCUCGUAGGCGGCUUGUCACGUCGGUUGUGAAAGCCCGGGGCUUAACCCCGGGUCUGCAGUCGAUACGGGCAGGCUAGAGUGUGGUAGGGGAGAUCGGAAUUCCUGGUGUAGCGGUGAAAUGCGCAGAUAUCAGGAGGAACACCGGUGGCGAAGGCGGAUCUCUGGGCCAUUACUGACGCUGAGGAGCGAAAGCGUGGGGAGCGAACAGGAUUAGAUACCCUGGUAGUCCACGCCGUAAACGGUGGGAACUAGGUGUUGGCGACAUUCCACGUCGUCGGUGCCGCAGCUAACGCAUUAAGUUCCCCGCCUGGGGAGUACGGCCGCAAGGCU
rnacentral:rRNA from 1 species